rnacentral:lncRNA from 1 species
UUUCCUCAGAAUUACAAACCUCAUGGUAUGAUGUGGAUUAAAAAGUACAUAUUUAUGCACCACUAACCCAGUGAGCAUUUACCUUUGCCUGCUAAGAGGGAGACCAGGUCAUGGCAGCCAUGCCUCUGAAAGCUCAAUACCAGGAGAUGGUGACCUUCGAGGAUGUGGCUGUGCACUUCACCAAGACAGAAUGGACUGGCCUUUCUCCUGCCCAGAGGGCCCUGUACAGAAGUGUGAUGUUGGAGAAUUUUGGGAACCUGACUGCUUUGGGAAGAAGUCACAAAUGCUCAGUUUCCUGUUGAUCGGAAUCUCUUUGGCCUUCUCCAGUCGAGAACCCUCUUCUGGUACCCAGUUCCCAAACCUGCACUGAUCUCACUUUUGGAGAGAGGGGACAUGGCUUGGGGCCUGGAAGCACAGGAUGAUCCCCCAGCAGAGAGGACCAAAAACGUCUGUAAAGAUGUUGAGACCAACAUUGACAGUGAGUCCACAUUAAUCCAGGGAAUUUCUGAAGAAAGAGAUGGGAUGAUGUCACAUGGUCAGCUGAAGAGUGUCCCUCAGAGAACUGAC